GACGAACGCUGGCGGCGUGCUUAACACAUGCAAGUCGAACGGAAAGGCCUGCUUUCCCUUGUGGAUUGCGGGUACUCGAGUGGCGAACGGGUGAGUAACACGUGAGUGAUCUGCCCCCAACUUGGGUAUAAGCCUGGGAAACUGGGUCUAAUUCCCGAUAGGACUGCAGGGUGGUGCCUGUGGUGGAAAACGGUUUUCUAGUGGUUGGGGAUGAGCUCGCGGCCUAUCAGCUUGUUGGUGGGGUAAUGGCCUACCAAGGCGGCGACGGGUAGCCGGCCUGAGAGGGUGGACGGCCACAUUGGGACUGAGAUACGGCCCAGACUCCUACGGGAGGCAGCAGUGGGGAAUAUUGCACAAUGGGCGGAAGCCUGAUGCAGCGACGCCGCGUGGGGGAUGACGGCCUUCGGGUUGUAAACUCCUUUCGACCGCGAGGAAGCCACCUGGUUGGAAGGGUGGUGACGGUAGUGGUAGAAGAAGCACCGGCUAACUACGUG
rnacentral:rRNA from 1 species